UACGUAGGGGGCGAGCGUUGUCCGGAAUCAUUGGGCGUAAAGCGCGUGUAGGCGGUCUGGUAAGUCCGCUGUGAAAGUCGAGGGCUCAACCCUCGAAUGCCGGUGGAUACUGUCGGGCUAGAGUGCGGAAGAGGCGAGUGGAAUUCCUGGUGUAGCGGUGAAAUGCGCAGAUAUCAGGAGGAACACCUAUUGCGAAGGCAGCUCGCUGGGACGUUACUGACGCUGAGACGCGAAAGCGUGGGGAGCAAACAGG
rnacentral:rRNA from 1 species